rnacentral:rRNA from 1 species
UACGUAGGUGGCAAGCGUUGUCCGGAUUUAUUGGGUUUAAAGGGUGCGUAGGCGGCAUUUUAAGUCAGUGGUGAAAUACGGCAGCUCAACUGUCGAGGUGCCAUUGAUACUGGGAUGCUUGAGUACUGAUGAGGUAGGCGGAAUGGACGGUGUAGCGGUGAAAUGCUUAGAUAUCGUCCAGAACACCGAUAGCGAAGGCAGCUUACUAAGGAGUAACUGACGCUGAUGCACGAAAGCUAGGGGAGCAAACAGG